GUAGUCCACGCCCUAAACGAUGUGCACUAGACUGGAGCGGCUCUGACGUCGUUCUGGUCGUAGAGAAAUUGUUAAGUGCACCGCCUGGGUAGUACGGUCGCAAGGCUAAAACUCAAAGGAAUUGACGGGGGCUCACACAAGCGGUGGAGCAUGUUGCUUAAUUCGAAGCAACGCGAAGAACCUUACCUGGGUUUGACAUGUACGGAUUAACCGGUGGAAACACUGGCCACACUCGCAAGAGUGGAACGUACACAGGUGCUGCAUGGCUGUCGUCAGCUCGUGCUGUGAAGUGUCGGGUUAAGUCCCUUAACGAGCGCAACCCUUGUCGCUAGUUGCUAACAGGUAAUGCUGAGGACUCUAGCGAGACUGCCGGUGUCAAACCGGA
rnacentral:rRNA from 1 species